rnacentral:rRNA from 1 species
GCGCGAAAACUUCGCAAUGGGGGCAACCCCGACGAGGGAAAGCCAAGUGCCAGCACAAUGUGCUGGCUGUUUUCCUGUCUAAAAAACAGGGAGAGUAAGGGCUGGGUAAGACGGGUGCCAGCCGCCGCGGUAAUACCUGCAGCCCAAGUGGUGCUCGUUAUUAUUGGGUCUAAAACGUCCGUAGUCGGUUGAGUAGAUGCCCGGGUAAAUCGCAGCGCUUAACGUUGCGAAUUCCGGGUAGACCGCUCGACUAGGGAUUGGGAGAGGUGCAUAGUACUCUGAGGGUAGGGGUAAAAUCCUGUAAUCCUUGGGGGACUACCAGUGGCGAAGGCGAUGCACUAGAACAAGUCCGACGAUCAGGGACGAAGCCCUGGGGCGCAAACGGG